UAAUACGGAGGAUCCAAGCGUUAUCCGGAUUCACUGGGUUUAAAGGGUGCGUAGGUGGAAUGACAAGUCAGUGGUGAAAACCUGCAGCUUAACUGUAGAACUGCCAUUGAUACUGUUAUUCUUGAGUACAUUUGAUGUGAGUGGAAUGUGUCGUGUAGCGGUGAAAUGCUUAGAUAUGACACAGAACACCAAUUGCGAAGGCAGCUCACAAAACUGUAACUGACACUGAGGCACGAAAGCGUGGGGAUCAAACAGGAUUAGAUACCCUGGUAGUCCACGCCGUAAACGUUGAAUACUAGAUGUAUGCCCGUUAGGGCAUGUGUCACAGCGAAAGCGUUAAGUAUUCCACCUGGGGAGUACGAUCGCAAGAUUG
rnacentral:rRNA from 1 species